CUAUCUUCGCAUCGUUUUGGUGGAUUUUUCCUUUUAGGAAAAACCUUAAAAUGGGAAUCCGGUGCUUCAGUAAAGUGAAAAUUCCGGAGCUGUACCCGCAGCUGUAAGUCCUUUUUUCCGUGUAAACGGAAAUGUUUUGAGAAAACUCUUGCCACUGUCCCUCAGUUAAGGGAUGGGAAGGCCUCAAGACAGGACAAGCCAGAAGACCUGCCAAAAGGUAAAUUAUUAA
rnacentral:ncRNA from 2 species